AGAAGAAGCAAUUGUGGGAUGCAGUGCAGAAGGGCGACUGGGGCAAGGGUAACACAAAGCCUUGAGGACAAGAACCAGGAGUAAAGCUGACUGGCGCUGAUGUACUAAUUAGUGCACUAGCAGUGGUGGCUGGAAACCAAGUGAGUUUGAAAGAAAAAUACAAAGGCCGGAUGAGAAAAGGCACUGAAAGAGACUGCAACAGCAGUUGCAGUAUGACUGGCACAUGUGCAGACAGGAACACUUCUAACGAGGACAAAAUGGUUGAUUGUGAGACAGCCACCCACGUGCAUAGUGGCACUGGCCUCUGCAUUUGUCACUUUUGCAUGCAGAAGUUCAGCACCCAAGAAGCAGCACGGCACGGACAGCUGGAUGGACAAAUGACUACAGGAAACAUGGAGCUCAGGCAGGUGGCAAUGACUGGGUAUGCCUGGGACACGCCGCUAUCAGCUUGGAUAGAAUCUCAUUUGCUUUAUUUCUACUCUCAUUCAAUCUUGUUCUUCCCCCAUGUAUUCAAAGCCAACGGCUGCUGUGAAGCUGAAGUGACUGAGCAGUGCUCCCCGAAGACUGUAAUUUCCCUGCCUGAAAUAUGUACCAAAUGAGUCAUUCAUUUAACGUUUCCCCUCCUGCAGAUUUUGCUUUCAUAUUGAUGCCAAUCUCAGAAGUGUGAUCAGAUCCUGUCCUGGCUUCUGUUCUGCUAAAUCACAUCGUAACUUCUGUGUCAUUCUCUGUGACCUUUGCUCUGUAAUUUCUCCACUUUAUAUUCUUUUAGUUGCUAUCUUAUAAUUUCCAUUGUUUUUACCAACUACUGUCUUAAUGAUUCUUGUAAUUUAAAGUUUUUCAAAACAAUUGUGGCGUUGGGAGGGGAGGGAGUGCUGCUUCCAUUUUGCAAGUACUGUGACCUUGCCCUGGGAGAGACUUGUCUUUUUAUUUCCUCCUCCAUAAUGAGUUGGUUUUGAUGGUAUAAAUCACAAGGAAAUCACUGUGUGGUGCUUGUCAAAGUGAACUCAGACUUGGCUUUCUGCCAAGCUGCUGUGAGUUUUCUUAUCCCUGCUUUGCAAGCAGGUUCGGCGUUGCCAGCUGUGUGCCUCCUGCUGCUGGCUGCUGGGAUGCCUUCCUUCAUCUCCUCCCAUGGAGGAGCAUUUUUCUCUCCAUUGCCUGUAUUCCUAAUUGGACAUCUCAAGUGUGAGGGCACCGAUCUGGGUCUUCCUGUGCCAAAUAGUUACAUGUCUUCUGAUCCUUGAUGUACUUUGAGCUUUUUGCAAUGACCUGUUUCUCCUUAAGGAGCAGUAGCCACUUCUAGUUCUUCUUAAGAAAGUGCUUUUCCCAAUAACUAUCUGGUAGUCUUUUCUUUUUGGCUGGUUUGUGACUCUUCUGAGCUACUGCCACCAAGUUUGUUAUGAAAGGCUUGAUUCUGACGCUCUUAAUGGUACUUGUGAUGGCAAAUACUUUCUUAGCCUUGCUGUUAUGUUGGUAUUCCAAAGCUAAUUGAAGUCUGACAGCAGGUGUCCAGGUAUCACCAAAGCAGAAGUCUCCAAUAUUUUCCUCACAGCACAGACUGCGUUUAUAGGCACAAGCUUUUGGUGAACUGACUUCAGG
ensembl:lncRNA